AAUAAAUACACAAAGUAUUCUGAUUUCGGAUUACUAAGUAAAAACACUUUUUAUUAAACACAGAAUGGACUCUCACUCAAAAUGCUGAUCACUGCACAGAAGCAAAGACUGGAAUCAUUUUCAGAGAAAUGAGGAACAGGUGGCCUGAAGAAGUUAAGUACCUUGAAGGAAGUCACAAGCAAGAAGGGAAGGAUGACUCCUAAAAGAACAGUUGGGGACAUCUGAUUUGAAAAGCAUUCAG
rnacentral:lncRNA from 1 species